AUAUGAGCACAUAUAACCAAAACUAAAACUAAGCAAAUUGGAUAGAAGAGGAGCUUGCAACUCAUGUAAUUAUUCUACCAAGAUUCAUGCCGCGAAAUCCAUAAGACAAUGCUACUGACUCACAUCUAAAACCUAUCCAAACUGAACCAAAAUAAAUUCAAACAUAUUCAGGAGCUAGACAAACUAUUUUUGAUCAAAUUGAACAUUAGAACUUGAAGCCUCACAUCAUCAAAUAGCAAUUGAGAACAAUCAGAUGUAGAUAUACAACAACUAAGUUAGAAGAUGCGUAAAGAAACGUAAUAAGUACCCAAGAACAGGAAUACUACAAGAUUGAGCAAAAUUUCCAUAUUUUGAAUAAUGAUUACAACACUUAAAACAGAAAUCGAGCCACACUUGGAGAAAAAGGUAAACAAUCAGAUUUUACAGCCCCAUUUUGAGAACCCAGAACAGUUCCAGCAGAUGAAAGAGGUAGACACACUUGGAGACGAGCUAUCAAUAAAACCUAUGGGAAAAGUUAAAACGAAACAAAGACGAACUACUAUCAUAACCAUACCAAAAUAAAAAUUGGAACACCAAGACAUCAUAUAUGCAGGGACAAAGAAGAUUAUACGGUAUCUUUUAACACAGAUAGAAAACUAUCACGAUCAAAUCGAAAACUACUACCAAAAGCGCAAAUAAGCAGUGGAGCGAUAAAACAUAUAAUAGGGACACUUAAUAUUGCGACAGAAUGAACGACAAACCAGCAUGUUAGAUCAUUAUAUAGAUAAGAAGUAUAAAAAUAGACAUCUUUUAUCAAGCCACACGUCAAUAUAAGAGAAAAAUAAAAUCACAAAGGGAGACCAUAAGAUAGAAGAAAAGAUUUGAUCACGAAAUGAGUCUACAUGUGAAGAGUUUCAAUCAAGGGCAGGGGAUGUGGUCCUAGUGGAAGCUUCUUGUUACAUUUGUUGCUUAUUGCAGACAAACGGACCAAAGUGCAGGAAAGUAGCAAUCCACCUACAAUGGCGACAUAAUCAAUUGUUUUCUUCGUUGAACUAGCUAUGCCUUUCUGCUUUCAUUAUUAUACACCCCCUUAAUUUCAAUGCAAUAAAUAUGUUAUUCCUUGGUUGGAAUAAAAUGUAGGAUUUCCAAAUAAUUUAAAUGAGGCCAUAUGAAAAUAUCAAUAAAAAUAAUAAUUGUACUACACUAUAUUAUUGUUGUUGUUUUAACAAAUCUUUAUAAAUAUGUAGUAAAUAAUUAAAUUCAACAUUAAUAGUCACAUUCACGCGGUAAAUAAGUGACAGUUUUGAGCAAUAAGAUGACAUAUCUGUUUGGUUGGGGUUAGCAUUGAUUCGGUCUGAAAAAUCCUACUUUAAAGGUAAGCGGGCAACCUCUUUAUUGCCAAUACUAUCAGUCAAUCUCGAUUAUAUUGCCUAAUUUUCUCUCUUUAACCAUCAUAUUACCACAAGGAAAAGGUUAAGGUGUGCAGUUAGGACCCUGACAGCAAAGUUAUAAAUCAAUUUAAAGCCAAACUUUAACAAAUCAAGAACAAGAUAUGACGAGUUAACACCAAAAUAAGCAUGGAUAGCAUUCAAGUAAUGCGAUAACACAAAUCACCCUACGAGAUUAAGCUAACAUAGAUGAGAAUCUAUAACAACGAAAGAGAAGACAACCAAGAUAACAAUCAAACAAAUUGUACAACCAGUGCACUCAAGAUCACAACCAAACAAACAUUAGAUCAUUUCAAGAUUUAGCUAGCUUUCAGAACAUGAUUAUGCUACAUCAAAGCCAUGAAACCGAUUCAACACUUUACAUACAACAUGUCAUGUCCCCCCACUUCAUAGUUUAAAUAUGACACCGAAAUAAGGGGAAAAAUCUAGAGUUGUAAGGAGGUUAGUAGAACACUCUAUAAUUCGCUAGAGAAUUUUCCAAAAGACUCCAGAAUAACUUAGAAGCUUUCUUGUAAAGCUUUAGAAUUUCCUAGAAUUAGUAGAGAAUUCUAGAACAUGGACUAAAGUGUAAUAAGUAGGGACUUGUAAAGUAAAUGAUAUUUUACACUUAGGCCCUUGUGAAGUAGUAUAAAUAGAAAAACUUCUCAUUUGUAAGGCAUUCAACCAAAUUGUAAGCAAUACACGUCUUCUUCCAAAAGCUUUUAAGUCUUUCAUUACAUUUUCUUAGCGAUCUUAGUUUAAAGGGCUUACUUAGCUUACAAGAUUGUGAAAAAAUUCGUGAAUACUUUUGUCAAGUGCAUCACGGAACAUAAGCUCGUGAUAACGACUCAUAACAUUCUUAGUAAAACAAAUAAAAAGAAGGCGAAAAAUAAAGAAAAACGACUCAUAAAAUUCUUAGUAAAACAAAUAAAAAGAAGGCGAAAAAUAAAGAAAAACGACUCAUAAAAUUCUUAGUAAAACAAAUAAAAAGAAGGCGAAAAAUAAAGAAAAAGAUACCUCAUAUGGAGCAGCGAUCCAUGACGACACAGGAAUAAAGCAGUAGCGUCAAAUGCUCGAAUAGAAGAAAAACGAACUCCGAUUGUGUAUUUUUGCCUAUAUAGUAACCUUCUCCUUUGUUUUUCAACUCUAAUUUUUAUUUUUCAAACCUUUUGAACGAUGAAGUAAGGAGGUUUAUAUAGGUCAAAUUUGGGGUGGGGGAAUGAACGUUAGGAUGGGAAAAUUCAGAACGUCCAAAUUGUUGUGGAUUUUAAC
rnacentral:lncRNA from 1 species